AUACGGAGGGUGCAAGCGUUGUUCGGAAUCACUGGGCGUAAAGGGCGCGUAGGCGGCCUGAUUAGUCAGAUGUGAAAGCCCACGGCUUAACCGUGGAAGUGCAUUUGAAACUGUCAGGCUUGAGUAUCUGAGGGGAAAGUGGAAUUCCCGGUGUAGAGGUGAAAUUCGUAGAUAUCGGGAGGAAUACCGGUGGCGAAGGCGACUUUCUGGCUAGAUACUGACGCUGAGGCGCGAAAGCGUGGGUAGCAAACAGGAUUAGAAACCCUGGUAGUCC
rnacentral:rRNA from 1 species